rnacentral:rRNA from 1 species
UACGUAGGGACCGAGCGUUGUCCGGAAUCAUUGGGCGUAAAGAGCGUGUAGGCGGCCAGGUAGGUCCGCUGUGAAAACUCGAGGCUCAACCUCGAGAUGUCGGCGGAAACCAUCUGGCUAGAGUCCGGAAGAGGAGAGUGGAAUUCCUGGUGUAGCGGUGAAAUGCGCAGAUAUCAGGAAGAACACCCGUGGCGAAGGCGGCUCUCUGGGACGGUACUGACGCUGAGACGCGAAAGCGUGGGGAGCGAACAGG